rnacentral:rRNA from 1 species
CCUACGGGAGGCAGCAGUGAGGAAUAUUGGUCAAUGGGCGCGAGCCUGAACCAGCCAAGUAGCGUGAAGGAUGACUGCCCUACGGGUUGUAAACUUCUUUUAUAAAGGAAUAAAGUGAGGCACGUGUGCCUUUUUGUAUGUACUUUAUGAAUAAGGAUCGGCUAACUCCGUGCCAACAGCAGCGGUAAUACGGAGGAUCCGAGCGUUAUCCGGAUUUAUUGGGUUUAAAGGGAGCGUAGAUGGGUUGUUAAGUCAGUUGUGAAAGUUUGCGGCUCAACCGUAAAAUUGCAAUUGAUACUGGCAGCCUUGAGUACAGUUGAGGUAGGCGGAAUGCGUGGUGUAGCGGUGAAAUGCUUAGAGAUCACGAAGAACUCCGAUUGCGAAGGCAGCUUACCAAGCUGCCACUGACGUUGAUGCUCGAAAGUGUGGGUAGCAAACAGGAUUAGAUACCCCUGUAGUC